rnacentral:rRNA from 1 species
UACGAAGGGGGCUAGCGUUGCUCGGAAUCACUGGGCGUAAAGCGCACGUAGGCGGAUCUUUAAGUCAGGGGUGAAAUCCUGGAGCUCAACUCCAGAACUGCCUUUGAUACUGGGGAUCUCGAGUCCGGAAGAGGUGAGUGGAACUCCGAGUGUAGAGGUGAAAUUCGUAGAUAUUGGGAAGAACACCGGUGGCGAAGGCGGCUCACUGGCUCAUUACUGACGCUCAGGCGCGAUAGCGUGGGGAUCAAACAGG